AUUUUCUCUUCGAGAACACUCGCCUCGUCAAUUCUCCCCCUCGUUCUUUUUAUCUUGUACAUUGAGAUGUUGAUGCAAAGCAUAGGCUUCACAAGUGGUACACUGAACACCAACCCAAUCGUGAGAAAGAAAUUCUUGCAACUACGAAAACUACAACAACCUCCGUGAACAGACGCUUUGUCAGUUCAUUUUUUAUAUAACUUCAAUUCAAUAAUUAAGAAAAAAGGUUAAAAAGGCUGAAGAAGCACCAUUGGUGAUUAAAUCUAUGUAUAUGUCUUGGAGGCAUUCAAUGGAAAAAUAUUAUUCAUCCGUCAGGGAAAAAAGGGACAAUGAAAUAACUUCGUCCAAAAAAUACAAAUCCCACCCUUGAAAUU
rnacentral:lncRNA from 1 species